UGGGGGAUAUUGCACAAUGGGCGAAAGCCUGAUGCAGCGACGCCGCGUGGGGGAUGAAGGCUUUCGGGUUGUAAACCUCUUUCGCUAUCGAACAAGGCCCGCUUAGGGUGGGUUGAGGGUAGGUGGAGAAGAAGCGCCGGCUAACUACGUGCCAGCAGCCGCGGUAAUACGUAGGGCGCGAGCGUUGUCCGGAAUUAUUGGGCGUAAAGGGCUUGUAGGCGGCUUGUUGCUCCUGCUGUGAAAACGCGGGGCUUAACUUCGCGCGUGCAGUGGGUACGGGCAGGCUUGAGUGUGGUAGGGGUGACUGGAAUUCCAGGUGUAGCGGUGGAAUGCGCAGAUAUCUGGAGGAACACCGAUGGCGAAGGCAGGUCACUGGGCCAUUACUGACGCUGAGGAGCGAAAGCAUGGGUAGCGAACAGG
rnacentral:rRNA from 1 species